rnacentral:rRNA from 1 species
AUGAAGAUGAACCGGCAAUGGAUGUACGGUGACAGACACACCUCCGAGUAUAUUAAAGGCGUGCAAGAUUUUCUCGAAGUGGCUGAGGCAAACAAGCAGAAUGGUUUUAUGUGUUGUCCAUGCCCUAUAUGUGGAAAUACGAAGUCUUACUCUGACCGGAAAAUCCUUCACACCCACCUGCUUUACAAGGGUUUCAUGCCACACUAUAAUGUUUGGACGAGGCACGGAGAAAUAGGGGUUAUGAUGGAAGACGGCGAAGAAGAAGAGGACGAUGACAACUAUGUGCCCCCUGAAUACGGUGAUGCUGCAACGGGGGAAGCUGCUGAAGAUCAAGAGGAACCAGACGAUGUGCCCAAUGAUGCUGCAAGGGGGGAAGCUGCUGAAGAUCAAGAGGAACCAGUGCCCGAUGAUGAUGAUCUCCGCCGGGUCAUAGUCGAUGCAAGGACGCAACGCGAAAGUCAAAAGUAG